UACGUAGGGUGCAAGCGUUAAUCGGAAUUACUGGGCGUAAAGCGUGCGCAGGCGGUUGUGUAAGACAGAUGUGAAAUCCCCGGGCUCAACCUGGGAACUGCAUUUGUGACUGCACGGCUCGAGUGCGGCAGAGGGGGAUGGAAUUCCGCGUGUAGCAGUGAAAUGCGUAGAUAUGCGGAGGAACACCUAUGGCGAAGGCAAUCCCCUGGGCCUGCACUGACGCUCAUGCACGAAAGCGUGGGGAGCAAACAGG
rnacentral:rRNA from 1 species